UACAGAGGUCCCAAGCGUUGUUCGGAUUCAUUGGGCGUAAAGGUGCGUAGGCGGCGCGGUAAGUCGGGUGUGAAAUCUCGGAGCUUAACUCCGAAACUGCAUUCGAUACUGCCGUGCUUGAGGACUGGAGAGAGACUGGAAUUUACGGUGUAGCGGUGAAAUGCGUAGAUAUCGUAAGGAAGACCAGUGGCGAAGGCGGUCUCUGGACAGUUCCUGACGCUGAGGCACGAAGGUCAGGGGAGCAAACGG
rnacentral:rRNA from 1 species